rnacentral:lncRNA from 1 species
GGGAGUCUCACUGUUUCAUACUCUUAAUGCAAUUUGAAUGUUUUCCCUUAGAAAUAAGUUACUGAAGUUUGUACAAAAACAUGUUCUUUCUUUUGUUUGUUAUAUAUGUAUGCACUCAAUUUGUCUUCUUUUGUUUCAAGGGUGUGAUUACUUUAGAGUCCCUUGGUAAAAGGGGUUAUCGAGUACCUCCUUCAGGAACGAUACAAGUGGUAUGUGUUUUAUAGCCUACAAUUGCAAUAAUCAUUCUCUCACACAUAUAGAGCUUAGCCCUUUCUCCUGCUACUGCUGCUGCAACAAACUUGACCUUAUUCAAUCCCAAUAAGACUGUGGUGAAGAUGUUUGUUGUCGUGUAUGACCUACGAAGUAUGCCAGCCAAUCACCAGACAUUCCUGCGGCAGAGGACGUUUUCUGUUCCUGUUAAACAAGAAAUGAAGAGAAGUAUUAACAAAGAGAAUGUCCAGCACACGGCACAGUUACUACGCUACCUCAUACACCUGAGGUUCCAGAGCUCUAAAUCUGGGAAGAUCUACCUCCAUAGAGAUGUCCGGCUCCUGUUCUCUAGAAAGUCCAUGGAGGUUGAUAGCGGUGCUGCUUAUGAACUCAAGUCUUACACCGAAUCGCCAACAAACCCACAGUUUUCACCAAGAUGCUGAUAAGGGAGACGGAUUAAAAGUAUUUGCUCAGUACCCAAGCUUGAACGUGAGCAUUCACCGAGUGGAAUACAUCCAAUGAGAGCCAGUGGAGUGGAGUGGCCCUCCUCU